GAUGAAGAACGUAGCGAAAUGCGAUAAGUAGUGUGAAUUGCAGAAUUCAGCGAAUCAUCGAAUCUUUGAACGCACAUUGCGCCCUUCGGUUAUUCCUUAGGGCAUGCCUGUUCGAGCGUCAUUUCAACCUUCAAGCCUGGCUUGGUGUUGGGCGCUGUCCCGCCUCCGCGCGCGGACUCGCCCCAAAUGAAUUGGCAGUCACCCUCCGAGCCGCGAGCGCAGCACAAGUCGCGCGGGCGGAACUCUGGGGGGACGGACGCUCCACAAGACCCUUUCUCAGUCUUGACCUCGGAUCAGGUAGGGAUACCCGCUGAACUUAAGCAUAUCAAUAAGCGGAGGA
rnacentral:misc_RNA from 1 species